rnacentral:rRNA from 1 species
GACGAACGCUGGCGGCGCGCUUAACACAUGCAAGUCGAACGGAAAGGCCUGCUUUCCCUUGUGGAUUGCGGGUACUCGAGUGGCGAACGGGUGAGUAACACGUGAGUGAUCUGCCCCCAACUUGGGUAUAAGCCUGGGAAACUGGGUCUAAUUCCCGAUAGGACUGCAGGGUGGUGCCUGUGGUGGAAAACGAUUUUCUAGUGGUUGGGGAUGAGCUCGCGGCCUAUCAGCUUGUUGGUGGGGUAAUGGCCUACCAAGGCGGCGACGGGUAGCCGGCCUAAGAGGGUGGACGGGCACAUUGGGACUGAGAUACGGCCCAGACUCCUACGGGAGGCAGCAGUGGGGAAUAUUGCACAAUGGGCGGAAGCCUGAUGCAGCGACGCCGCGUGGGGGAUGACGGCCUUCGGGUUGUAAACUCCUUUCGACCGCGAGGAAGCCACCUGGUUGGAAGGGUGGUGACGGUAGUGGUAGAAGAAGCACCGGCUAACUACGUG